rnacentral:rRNA from 1 species
UACGGAGGGUGCAAGCGUUAUCCGGAUUCACUGGGUUUAAAGGGUGCGUAGGAGGGCAGGUAAGUCAGUGGUGAAAUCUCCAAGCUUAACUUGGAAACUGCCGUUGAUACUAUCUGUCUUGAAUACCGUGGAGGUGAGCGGAAUAUGUCAUGUAGCGGUGAAAUGCUUAGAUAUGACAUAGAACACCAAUUGCGAAGGCAGCUCGCUACACGAAUAUUGACCCUGAGGCACGAAAGCGUGGGGAUCAAACAGG